UCCUCUUUUUCUUGCAGAUUUUAAAUUUCCAACCUGUUAAGUGCAUUUGUGAACCAAAUUUGAAGAGAAUUCUGGGUACCGGGUUCUUGCACAAGGCAUCUGGUGAACAAACUCAUCAAAUGGAUUCCCAGCCGUGUUUUCAUAUUUAUCAAAUAACUGGCCAUUGGGUACAGAAAGGUACUUGUUUAAGAAACUAUACAAAUCAUUGCCCUUUGGUCAGAAAAAUAACAUCUAUCUUACGGAAAAUAAGCAACAGAAUUUUCACUUCCAUGGAACAGUCUGUGGGCUACAAACCAUGACCCCAGAGAUGGAACAGCCAACCCAGGAGACAACUCAAAGUCCUCAGGUUUGACUUUGUGGAUUCUGACAUCACAGAAAUACCCGUGACCUUCA